CACGUCAGCGCGCUUUGAUGACGUGGUAACAAAGCGUGUCCACGAAAGCGCGAUUUGUGUCCACGUCAGCAAAGCGCGCUGACGUGG
rfam:Gossypium raimondii Chr03_contig_224, whole genome shotgun sequence.